CCAGGCUAGUCUUGAACUCAAGCGAUCCUCUCACCUCAGCCUCCCAAAGUGCUGGGAUUACAGGCAUGAGCCACCACACCUGAAGAAUGGCUCUGUGCCCAGGAGGCAGAGGUUACAGUGAGCCGAGAUUGUGCCUCUACACACCAGCCUGGGUGACAGAGCAAGACUCUGUCUCCAAUAAAUAAAUAAUAAAAACUUUUGAAAAAGUAGUCAUUCAAUAGAUCUGCACUGAAUGAAUGAGUGAACUCACUAUGAUUGGUCCCUUUUCUAGACAAACAGGACCAGAGAGGUUGAGCAGUGUGCUCCCGGUCACACAGUGAAGAGGUGGAGAGCCAGGAUGCCGCCCCAAAUGUGCCUUGAACUUCUUAGCUGCUGUUAUACCCCCUCGUAGACUCACUUCAUCCUCACCACCCUGUGAAAUCUCUUUGUACAGCUGCAGAAACUGAGAGUCAGAUGUAAGCCAUUGACCAAAUGAAGUACAGGAGCAGAGCCAGCUGGCAGGUGAGCAACACUAGGCUAUGAAAGCUCUGCCGUUUCGGCUGCGCCACACCCCUCUGGAAAGAGCCCACAAUCCUAGCUCUGUGCCAAGCCAGCCUCCUCGAGGGCUUGCCUUAGGCACGGGUCUCCUACAGUGGGUACCAUGACCACAUCCACUGAGUCCUUCAGAAGCAAGCCCCUGCCCAUUUGUCCUCAGGCUACAAUAACCCAGUCCUCAUCUUGUCUACCUUCUCCCUGCGAUCCUGGUUUUAAACUCAUAUUUAUUCAUUCAACAAGUGUACCUGGUACCAUGCUAAGUGCUGCAGACACAUGAGUGAGCAAAGCUAGGCAAAGCUCCUGCCUGUUAUGGAGCUUAGAGUCCAUUUUCACAAAUGCAUAAUUGCAAACGUGUUUCUGUGGAGGAAGAUGAUAUUAUUUGCUGAGAUGAUACACCCAGGACUCUGACUUGGUCUGGAGGUCACAUGCAGGGAUUCCUUUAGGAUGUGACAUGUGAAAGACAUGGAUAUUUGUUGAGCAAAGGAGCUUGAGGUCAAAGGAAGUGGGUUCUGGGCAAAGGGACACGCAGGCAGGUCCUACAGUAGAAAGGAGCAUGGAUUCUUUAAGGCCCUGCGAGGGUCAGUGUGUGGAGGGCAAGGGGAAGCGGUUCGAGACCACACAGAAAGCUUGGAAGGGCCAGGUCAUGCUGGGCCCUAGCAACAGGUGAAGGACGCUGGCAUAUGUGAGGGGCAGAGGAAAGCCACUGAAGGACUGGAGCACAUUUGUGGUUUUUAAAGGUCACUCCAGGCCAGGCACAGAAGCUCACAUCUGUAAUCCCAGCAUUUUGGGAGGCUGAGCGGGGAGGAUUACCUGAGCCCAGAAGUUUGAGACCAGUCUGGGCAACAUAGUGAGUCCCCAUCUCAACAAAAAAUACAAAAAUUAGCCAGUUAAGGUGGCACACACCUGUAGUGCCAGCUACUCAGGAGGCUGA
rnacentral:lncRNA from 1 species